rnacentral:lncRNA from 1 species
UUAUAUUUCAAAAUUGAAUGAGAAUGAUAAUGAAUACAUAAGAAUAUACAAUCUCGAACAGACAAAAACCCACUGAUCCAUAAGCUAAUUAAAUCACAAAAUAAAUUAUCUUCCCAUCAUCAGAUCCAACCGAGAUCUCUAGCUCAAGCAAUUGGCGAUCCUAUCCACAGUAUUCAGUUGUACAUAAGCUCCUAUCCACAUUAUCCAGUUGUACAUACGCUCUAGUAAAAUCAGAUCCUCGUUCUACUUGCACAGUUGGCUUAGCUCCAUAACUAAAGAUCAAGCACAACCUUCCUAAAACCACAAAACAGGAAGUACCAAAUAGUAAUAAAGUAGUAAAGCAGUAAGGGAUUUAAAAGAUACAUUAAAAAAUUGUGACAUAAAGUUAGCAAAAUAAGGAAGAUGAUGGGGAGAGAGAGAGAAAGCGAGGUUGAACAAUAUCUGGAACUGACGGUUGUCGAGCCGAGUUCCUACUUUAAUACCACACCUGUGGAUGAACACAGUCCAAGCAAAGGUCGAAGGUCGAGGAAUAUCAUACUGUACAUAUAUAUGAUAAGGAGAAUCAAAUCUUAAUCAGCAGAACAGUGAGAGAAGUUUCUUCAGACGAGACAAAUAGGUUGAACAUCCAGUGGCAGAGAAUCAAAAGGACGAAACUUUACUGGACACUCUGUUUAGAAUUGUCAUAUAAACACAAUUACCACAAAAAGGUAUUCAAAGCGCUUUCUUCUACAAGGAAUCUUGUUCAAACAAGGUUGAGAAAAAAAUCAAAUCAGCCGAUUACCAAACCCUGGCAAGAGAAAACACAAUCCAAACGCAAAACCCAUGAUAAUAAACCACUUGUUAAUGCAUAACCGAAAACCAUACCUAAUACCUCGCCCGAUCAAAAUCACCAAAACAAAACCAAUUCAGAAUCACAAUCAGACGGCCGGGGAAAGAUAUGCCGGCGAAUCCAUAACGAUACGAUUAUCAUACCGGCAAAAUAACCCCAAAUAAAAUCAAAUCAGGAACGGAUAAUCAUUGAAUUGAAUUGCGCAGGUUUCAUAGCGACGAUGAUACGCGACGGAUAAUCUAGAAAAACGGAGACGACAAAUAAACAAAAGCAAUAAUCAAAAACAAAACUCUAAUACUCAGAUAACCAACGAAGACGAGAGACGAAGGAAUGAGUUACGGUUUGUAGGAGGGGACGGGUAUUUAUAGAAGAGUCGG